AUAUCACGUGUUGUAGUAAUUCGAUCUGUUGAUAACAAGCGCUAAGUUCGAUCUUUUGAGAGCAAAUAUUCAAAGAGGAAAGGAUUUUUAUUCAAAUGUUCUACUUAUAAAGUUCCAAAGACCUAAUAAAAUACAUGGAAUUUGUUUUCAAAGGUAUGUCUAUUGUGUAUUUACUCAUUUGUAUGCGGAUAGUUACUUGAUAUACUGUAUAGUUAUGUUUUUAAAUCGAAGGCUUGUAUUUGUAUUAAUACUUUUUUACCGAAGGCAUCUAAACGUUCAGUUGUAAAUUUUCGAUUAAUUUCUAUUAGCAGAAGUGUAUAAAUCUAAUCUACACUCUACCUAUCUGUGUUUUAAGAAAAUGGUAUAGCUUAGUUGUGUGAUAUACGUGUAUGCUAUAUUUCCUGAGAAAUAUUUGCCAUUUAUAGUUGGCAUGCAUUGUAUACUUACAAAUCACAUAAAUACAAUGUGGUUUGUUUGAAGUCAAAUUAAUAGCAUAUAGAUAGCAUUGUAAUAGCCCAUCUCCCAAUAUUACCCAAUGUAUGGCAUGUGCUUGCUAUGGUAUUAAACCCUCCUAUCGGUCACCCUAAAACAUGUGUGAAGACCUGCUUAUAUGGUCAAGCCGUCAAGGAAGCCAGCCCAGGUAGCCCGGCUAUAGCUUGCUUUCCCUGGAUGAAUGUCUGUUUACAUGAGCCUCUUUAGAUGGACACUAAGCUUGCCAAAUCGAAUCAACCAGUCUGAGUUUUAUAAUAGAAGUACAUUUUCCAAUACGGUAACCAACAUCACACUUUUGCAGACAUUUUCGAAAUGUAACUGAUAAAAACAAUUACCGAGAUAUUUUAACCCUUUAAGUGGCAAUGCGCCCUACUUUAUUAUUUUACUUUGUCUAAACAUCGGACAAUUUUACUUGUCAGGAGGAGAAUCUGUCCCUCAAUGGGUUAAUCAGAAUAUCUGCCCUUAAAUUAAAGAUGCCCAGAUUUUUGCGGCACUAAUCAGGCAACUUGCCCAAUCAGGCAAGCAAGAUAAAACAUUUACUUGCCCGUCAUGAAUUUCACUUGUCUCGGGCAAUUAGUGGGAAGUGUUAAGUUACACCUCUGCUUGCUUUGUACACUAGAAAACAACCAAAAAUAGCAAAUUUAUUGUCACUCAAUAAUUUGCUUCUGUUAUAAUUAUAUCAAUCUUGUAUAUUUUUUCUUAAUAGUGGUUGUAUUUAAUAUGGAUUCAUUAUAUCCUGUGAUGCUGAAUGAAAAGUUAUCGAAGCAGCCCAGGAGAAGGCAAGUCAUCUAAACAAGUGGCAAUAUAAUCAUUAAUGGCAUUCUAAGUACUUCAUGGUCUAUUUGGAAAAUGUUAUUCUUUUGCUGGAGAGCAUGUUUACGGAUUACCAAACCAUGCAAGGAAAGGACUAGGAGUUGCCGACUGGUGGUAUAGUACAGCUUGUUUUGUACUAAAAUUUAACUAAUGGACUUGCACGACAUUAGACAUAAUAUGUAUGCUUGAUUGAGCACUGACACUACAUGCCGUGUAUUUUACUUGUAAUUCAAGAUUGAACAGAAUGUUUAACCCUUUAAGUGGCAAUGUGCUCUACUUUAUUAUUUUAUUAUUUUGUGUCCAAUGCAAGGUAUGCUGCCACUCAAUGGGUUAAAGUCUUUCUGUAGAUGGAAAUAUUGAACAAUAACUAUGUAAUAGCUAUUGUGCCGGGAUGAAACCCCUGUGAUUCGGAUCAGCUCCUUAAUUGCAAAGAGUCCAUCAAGCCCCAAGAGUCAAUGAAGGUCACCAGGAGUUUAUGUAUAUAAUACUGAUACCAGUUAACUUAAUAUACUACCACUGACACCACCAUUUAAUGGUUUAUAUACAGUAUGUACAGCAACUUGUGGUGACCUCUUGGCAAACAGACACUUUAAGUCAGAGGGCAGCAGUAGAAUUGCAGGGCUGUAGGUUCAGUUUAUGCUGGCAGACUUGCAAUUGCUAUCUGAGUUAUUUGAAGUGUAUUUGUUCACCACAACCAGGUAUAUCAAUUGUGUUUUUCGCUUGCUACUUUGGAUUAAAUAAAUAAUUACAAAGCCCGGUGGAAUUGUAAUCAAGACCCAGCGUUUAGACACUCCAGUCUAGUGUCUUCUUUAGGGGUGAUCUAAAGUUGUAAUUGUGGCUUAUUAAAUACCCAAGGGAUGACAUCACCUGCCAAUGAGAUGCAUGUAUUCCUCUGGCAAAUAGGCACCGUCAUCCCUAUUCACAGCAUAAUUACUCAUAUUUAUAUGCCAUGCUUCUAGGCAUAGUCUUUGACCAUGAUAGCGAUUGUUUGUGGUAAUUACUUUAGAUUUUUCCGACACAAUCUCGUGUUUGGUGCCACACACAUGUUCUGAUAAAGCUGAUUUUCGGUAGUCUUUCCACACUGGGAUUUCCCCUUGUUUUAAAGUUGAAACAGCCUUUUGAUGUUCUUUUAGCCAUGUACCAAACUAGUGUUAAGACUGACCCAAAUACUCUUUUUCGCAGUCACCGCAUGGUAUAGAAUAUACAGCAUGAGUUUUCUGAUUUGUUUUAACAGGAUCUUUUGGCUUUGCGAAAAUAUGGCCUAAAGUCAAAUACGGUUUUAAGGCAACAUUAAUAUUAUAUUACAUGCAUCUCAUUGGCAGGUGACGUCAUCCCUUGGGUAUUUAAGAAGCGACAAUUGCAACUUUAGAUCACCCCUGAUGAAGACACUAGACUGGAGUGUCAAAACGUUGGGUCUUGAUUACAAUUCAACAGCUGGACUUUGUAAUAAUUUAUUUAAACCAGAGUAGCGAGCGAAACAUGCUCCCAGUUAGUUCUAUGAAACACAUGUUAACUGUACAGUUUCCAUUUGAAAUGUCCAUCUACAAAAACCCAUGAUCAGUCUGCUAUUAUUGCCUUGCUAGAGUAGGCUGUUGAUUGUCUCCUAUAUUUAAUAUUGGCUGUUUGCAACAUCCUGCAAUCCAUCAUAUUAUACACAUGCAGCCAUGAUAUCAUCAAUCAAACUUUGAACUUAGAACUGCAUUCAAAGAAUGUUAUCGAGCGUAAGAAUAUAUCAUUAUAUGCUAAAGCAAAUUGUAUUUCCUGUUACAAUACUGUAUACCUUGUAUAUAGAGGGAUAAUAAAUUAUUUUGACUUCAGGAGGGCUAUUAUAGCAUGCAUGAUUUAAGGAGCAGCAACUCAGCAAGGGGCUCAUUUUUGGGGAAUUCCUCGCAUGUUCCGCUGCAUGUACUCACAUGCAUGUUUACUAUUCCAAAAUGUUUCAUGGUUUUAUUGUGAAAUUAAAGUUAUUACAAAGAUCGACGUGAUUUAGUUAUAUUAUAUAUAUAUAGGAUUGAGUAAUAUAACUUCGUUAAAUUUCAUUGAAAUAAAUUUUAUUCAAGUGUUUGAUUUAUGGCUAUUGGUGAAUAUACUUUUCGAGACUGCAUGCAUGCACAAGUUAGGUAACGCGUGUUAAUUUAAUUUGCUUUUCACUGACAAUUUGAGUGAAAACUGUCGGUGUGUUUACUGAUUUUAGUAAAGUGAUGUUGUACUCAAGAAUUUGAGUCACUGUGGGUGAAUUUGCUUUACUCAUAAAUUUGAGUAUUUUUUACUCACAAUUUGAGUAAAGUAAUGUUUUACUCAAAAAUUUGAGUCACUGUCGGUGUGUUUACUUUACUCACACAUUUGAGUAGUUUUUACUCACAAUUUGAGUAAAGUGAUGUUUUACUCAAAGAUUUGAGUCACUGUGGG